rnacentral:rRNA from 1 species
UACGGUGACCAUGGCGAGCGGGAAACGCCCGGCUCCAUUCCGAACCCGGAAGCUAAGCUGCUCAGCGCCGAUGGUACUGCAGGGGGGACCCUGUGGGAGAGUAGGUCGUCGCCGGAC